AGGGAGGCAGCAGUGGGGAAUUUUGGACAAUGGGCGCAAGCCUGAUCCAGCAAUGCCGCGUGCAGGAAGAAGGCCUUCGGGUUGUAAACUGCUUUUGUACGGAACGAAACGGCGAGCUCUAAUACAGUUUGCUAAUGACGGUACCGUAAGAAUAAGCACCGGCUAACUACGUGCCAGCAGCCGCGGUAAUACGUAGGGUGCGAGCGUUAAUCGGAAUUACUGGGCGUAAAGCGUGCGCAGGCGGUUUUGUAAGACAGUCGUGAAAUCCCCGGGCUCAACCUGGGAAUUGCGAUUGUGACUGCAAAGCUGGAGUGCGGCAGAGGGGGAUGGAAUUCCGCGUGUAGCAGUGAAAUGCGUAGAUAUGCGGAGGAACACCGAUGGCGAAGGCAAUCCCCUGGGCCUGCACUGACGCUCAUGCACGAAAGCGUGGGGAGCAAACAGGAUUAGAUACCCCGGUAGUCCG
rnacentral:rRNA from 1 species